rnacentral:rRNA from 1 species
CUACGGGUUGCUGCAGUGAGGAAUAUUGGUCAAUGGGCGAGAGCCUGAACCAGCCAUCCCGCGUGCAGGAUGACGGCCCUAUGGGUUGUAAACUGCUUUUCCAUACCAAGAAACCUGAUUACGUGUAAUUAGUUGCCGGUAGUAUGGGAAUAAGCAUCGGCUAACUCCGAGCCAGCAGCCGCGGUUAUACGGAGGAUGCAAGCGUUAUCCGGAUUCAUUGGGUUUAAAGGGUGCGCAGGUGGGCUUGUAAGUCAGUGGUGAAAUGUUGCCGCUUAACGGUAAAAUUGCCAUUGAUACUGCAAGUCUUGAAUAUAGUUGAGGUAGGCGGAAUGUGUUGUGUAGCGGUGAAAUGCAUAGAUAUGACACAGAACACCGAUUGCGAAGGCAGCUUACUAAGCUAUUAUUGACGCUGAGGCACGAAAGCGUGGGGAUCGAACAGGAUUAGAUACCCUAGUAGUC